rnacentral:misc_RNA from 1 species
GAAAUGCGAUAAGUAGUGUGAAUUGCAGAAUUCAGUGAAUCAUCGAAUCUUUGAACGCACAUUGCGCCCCUUGGUAUUCCAUGGGGCAUGCCUGUUCGAGCGUCAUUUGUACCCUCAAGCUCUGCUUGGUGUUGGGUGUUUGUCCCGUCUCCGCGCGUGGACUCGCCCCAAAGUGAUUGGCAGCCGGCGUACUGGUCCCGGAGCGCAGCACAUGUCGCGCAAACGAGUGCCUUGGUACGGAGGCGUCCAUAAGCCCCUCUCUCACGCUCUUGACCUCGGAUCAGGUAGGGAUACCCGCUGAACUUAAGC